rnacentral:tRNA from 1 species
GGCAAUGUAGCUCAGUUGGUCAGAGCAUGCGGCUCAUAUCCGCAGUGUCCGGGGUUCAAAUCCCUGCAUUGCCACCA